CUGUAUAUCUGCCUCACUGAUGGGGCUGUGCCUUCAACCCACAUCAAGGCACACCCCUGUCAGUGCGGCAGAUGUUAUUGGACAGCGCUGACAGGGGCGGACUGCCAGAUGAUCCCCGGGCCAGCCAUGUUUUCUAUGCUCUCCUUCCCUGGACCUUCACCCCGGAGCCUGUGACAGAGAGGUUCCAGGUGCCGCGUGACCUGUCUGAUAACAAAGCUCAACCGCGUAGCUUCUGCAGCUCCGCAGCUCAGGACCAGCCGGACCUGCAGGUUCACCAGCCGCUGACCGCUCCAGCCAGAUGUGGGUCGCCCGUUACUUGUUCUGCCCGUCUGAGGCACAUCACUGCAGGCAAAAUAGGAUACAAGAUUGUUGAACCAAGCUUCGUGUCUUCAGGAAAUCAUUUUUAGACCCUUUCCCCAGCAGUAGGUGUAGAGCAGCACCGACCAGAGCAGAGACUCACAAGGAAAGUGAGGAAGAAAGAGGACUGGAUGGUAAGAUCCCUUGCCUUGAAAACUUUGUGAGUCCCUUUGAAAUUGUCCCGUAUGUCUCACAAUUUUCUAGUUGCAACCCUGGUAGAA